GGCUCGGUAGCUCAGUCGGUAGAGCAGAGGACUGAAAAUCCUCGUGUCGGCGGUUCGAUUCCGUCCCGUGCCACCA
rnacentral:tRNA from 1 species